AACGAACGCUGGCGGCAUGCCUAACACAUGCAAGUCGAACGAGACCUUCGGGUCUAGUGGCGCACGGGUGGGUAACGCGUGGGAACCUGCCCUUAGGUUCGGAAUAACUCCCCGAAAGGGGUGCUAAUACCGGAUAAUGUCUUCGGACCAAAGAUUUAUGGCCUUUGGAUGGGCCCGGGUUGGAUUAGCUGGUUGGUAGGGUAAAAGCCUACCAAGGCGACGAUCCAUAGCUGGUCUGAGAGGAUGAUCAGCCACACUGGGACUGAGACACGGCCCAGACUCCUACGGGAGGCAGCAGUGGGGAAUAUUGGACAAUGGGCGAAAGCCUGAUCCAGCAAUGCCGCGUGAGUGAUGAAGGCCUUAGGGUUGUAAAGCUCUUUUACCCGGGAUGAUAAGGACAGUACCGGGAGAAUAAGCUCCGGCUAACUCCGU
rnacentral:rRNA from 1 species